UACGUAGGGGGCAAGCGUUACUCGGAAUUACUGGGCGUAAAGGGUGAGUAGGCGGCUGAGCAAGUCAAGGAUGAAAGCCCGAGGCUCAACUUAGGAAUUGUCCUUGAAACUGCUCAGCUUGAGGGUAGUUGAGGAGAGUGCAAUUCCCGGUGGAGCGGUGAAAUGCGUAGAUAUCGGGAGGAACACCUGAGGCGAAGGCUGCUCUCUAAGCUAUUCCUGACGCUGAAUCACGAAAGCUAGGGGAUCAAUCGGG
rnacentral:rRNA from 1 species